rnacentral:rRNA from 1 species
CCAGGUCCGUGAUGAAGCCCAGCUUGCUGGGUGGAUUAGUGGCGAACGGGUGCGGAAGACUGGAGUAACCUGCCCUUAACUCUGGGAUAAGCCUGGGAAACUGGGUCUAAUACCGGAUAGGAGCGCCUACCGCAUGGUGGGUGUUGGAAAGAUUUAUCGGUUUUGGAUGGACUCGCGGCCUAUCAGCUUGUUGGUGAGGUAAUGGCUCACCAAGGCGACGACGGGUAGCCGGCCUGAGAGGGUGACCGGCCACACUGGGACUGAUACACGGCCCAGACUCCUACGGGAGGCAGCAGUGGGGAAUAUUGCACAAUGGGCGCAAGCCUGAUGCAGCGACGCCGCGUGAGGGAUGACGGCCUUCGGGUUGUAAACCUCUUUCAGUAGGGAAGAAGCGAAAGUGACGGUACCUGCAGAAGAAGCACCGGCUAACUACGUGCCAGCAGCCGCGGUAAUACGUAGGGUGCGAGCGUUAUCCGGAAUUAUUGGGCGUAAAGAGCUCGUAGGCGGUUUGUCGCGUCUGUCGUGAAAGUCCGGGGCUUACCCCGGAUCUGCGGUGGGUACGGGCAGACUAAAGUGCAGUAGGGGAGACUGGAAUUCCUGGUGUAGCGGUGGAAUGCGCAGAUAUCAGGAGGAACACCGAUGGCGAAGGCAGGUCUCUGGGCUGUAACUGACGCUGAGGAGCGAAAGCAUGGGGAGCGAACAGGAUUAGAUACCCUGGUUGUCCAUGCCGUAAA